CUGAGUAGUAUUAGUUAUGUUCUUUAAACUUAAAAAAUUUGGCGGUAUUUUAGUCUAUUCAGAGGAACCUGUUCUGUAAUCGAUAAUCCACGAUGGACCUUUCUUGUUUUUGUUUUUCAGUUUAUAUACCGUCGUUAUCAGAAAAUUUUAAAAGAAUAUCAAUUUUCUUGUUUUUCUACUAAAAAUUAUAUCAGAUCAAGGUGUAGCUUAUAAACAAGUUGAAAUGGGUUACAAUAAAAGUAUUUUAUGGAUAUAGAUAUGAAAUUUCUAUUGAAAGUGGAUUUGAUAGUAAAGUUAUAUAGAUUAAUAACUUGAUUUUAGCUCUAAAAUAUGCACACAUCGCCCGUCGCUCUUAUUACUAAGAUAAGAUAAGUCGUAACAUAGUAGAUGUACCGGAAGGUGUAUCUAGAAUGACAACUUAAAGCUUAAUUAGUAAAGUAUUUCAUUUACAUUGAAAUGAUUUUUGUGCAAAUCAUUAUAAGUUGAUUAAAUUUUAUUUAUAAGUUUAAUUAAUUUUCUUGUUAAGUUAUUAAAAAUAAUUAAAAGAUGAAAAUUUUUAGUAUAUUUUAUAGAAAAAAUAUUAUUAAUUAUAGAUUAUUAGUAUUGUAAAAGAACAUUGAAAUAAGUGAAAAA
rnacentral:rRNA from 1 species